UACGGGAGCAGCAGUGGGGAAUAUUGCACAAUGGGCGCAAGCCUGAUGCAGCCAUGCCGCGUGUAUGAAGAAGGCCUUCGGGUUGUAAAGUACUUUCAGCGGGGAGGAAGGCGAUGUGGUUAAUAACCGCGUCGAUUGACGUUACCCGCAGAAGAAGCACCGGCUAACUCCGUGCCAGCAGCCGCGGUAAUACGGAGGGUGCAAGCGUUAAUCGGAAUUACUGGGCGUAAAGCGCACGCAGGCGGUCUGUUAAGUCAGAUGUGAAAUCCCCGGGCUUAACCUGGGAACUGCAUUUUGAAACUGGCAGGCUUGAGUCUCGUAGAGGGGGUAGAAUUCCAGGUGUAGCGGUGAAAUGCGUAGAGAUCUGGAGGAAUACCGGUGGCGAAGGCGGCCCCUGGGACGAAGACUGACGCUCAGGGUGCGAAAGCGUGGGGAGCAAACAGGGAUUAGGAUACC
rnacentral:rRNA from 1 species